rnacentral:rRNA from 1 species
GACGAACGCUGGCGGCGUGCUUAACACAUGCAAGUCGAACGGAAAGGCCCUGCUUGCGGGGUACUCGCGUGGCGAACGGGUGAGUAACACGUGUGUGUUCUGCCCUGCACUUCUUGGUAUGCCUUGGGAACUGUGUCUCAUACCGGGGAUAGGCCCUUCUUAUUGUUGUUGUUGGAUAGUUUGUUCGGUUGGGGAUGGACUCGCGGCCUAUCAGCUUGUUGGUGGGGUAGUGGCCUACCAAGGCGGCGACGGGUAGCCGGCCUGAGAGGGUGGCCGGCCACAUUGGGACUGAGAUACGGCCCAGACUCCUACGGGAGGCAGCAGUGGGGAAUAUUGCACAAUGGGCGGAAGCCUGAUGCAGCAACGCCGCGUGCGGGAUGACGGCCUUCGGGUUGUAAACUGCUUUCGCCAGGGACGAAGCGUGUGUGACGGUAAUUAGUAAAGAAGCACCGGCUAACUACGUG